rnacentral:misc_RNA from 1 species
GGAAUCAUACUUGACAGGACUUCACCAAGGUGUGGCCGUUCUGUUAGGGGGCGUCCGGUCGAUAUCAGCUUUCAACUGUGAGAUCAGUUUUCGCACAGAUUAGAUCUGAGCAUAUUGUCUAUGUCAAUUGAUGUAAGGCAUAUAUUGUUGUCCUCCUUGCUGAGAGACGAGAGGUAAGAAUUGAUGUAUUUGCUGUUGUCUCGCUGGACCUUUGCCAUGUCGGGUGCGCUCGCUUGGCAGGUCACCAGAUCCUUAAUAAAAAUUUGAUUGUUGUGUUCUUGGGGGAGAUCGCAUGGGGUGUAUGUUUUGCCCCGGGGUCUCCCUCUCUGUGUCUCUCUCCCUCUGAUUAUUUUUCUCGGUCAGAUAUUACUCAGAAUUCUGGAGAUUGUCCAUUCAGCACGCGAUAACGCCAUCGGCGAGAGAUCAUUUCCUGAACUUUGGAGGCAUGGUAGUUGAGGUUGCGGUUUGAGCUUAGAUUUAUCAAGCAAGCAACUGAAAUUGUGGAGUUGAUGCAAGCAAGCAUCUGAAUCAAGAUUGACUGAACUCUUGUGAUUAUAUUCCCGAAAGACGUGAUUGUCCCAUAGAAGACCACUGUUAAAGGCUGUACACUCUGAUAUGUCAUUGGAUCCUGAAAUAUUUAUUGCUAUAUUGUUCAGAGAGCAAGCUUUCUGAGCUGAAAGUAUUGGUAGUUGUUUCUUGGAUCCAGAGUCUGCUGGUGCUAUCAUCGGUUGCUGAAGUUUUAAUAUAGUAAUGUCAUUUUUGUUGCGGAAAAUGGUGAGCCAUGCGGAAGCACAAUAAUCCAAUAUUUUAUGUUGGUAAGCUAAUGUUGUUCGGCUUAGCCUACCGUGAAGGGAUAAUCAACUAUAUGAAGAAUCUGAUGACUUGCAUAGGCCACAAGCUCGUAUCAAGAAAAGGGUUCUGAUUUCACUCAAGAGGAGAAUUGCAUGGAAGAACGAUCGUAUUUAUUGUCCAAUAAGUUUACAUGGUUUAACUCUGUAUACAUUCACAUGGGUGAAUGGAGAAUUCACUGUACGAAGAAUCUGAUCACUUGCACAUGCCACAAGCUCCUCUCAAGAAGAGGGCUCUGAUUUCACCCAAGAGAAGAGAACCGCACAGUGCGGAAGCACGAUUGUACUUAAUUGUUCAGUUAGUUUAUGUGGUUCGGCUUCCCCUACCUUUAUAGGGUGAAGGGAUAAUCCUCUAUAUGAAGAACCUGAUGACUUCGCACAUAUUGCAAGCUCGUCUCAAGAAGAGGGCUUUGAUUUCUCCUAAGAGAAGAGAACCGCUCGGAAGCUCAAUCAUCCAAUAAGUUUACGUGGUUCGGCUUUGCCUACAUUCACGCACGGGGAUGAAGGGAUAAUCCUCUAUAUGAAGAACCUGAUGACUUCGCACAUAUUGCAAGCUCGUCUCAAGAAGAGGGCUUUGAUUUCUCCUAAGAGAAGAGAACCGCUCGGAAGCUCAAUCAUCCAAUAAGUUUACGUGGUUCGGCUUUGCCUACAUUCACGCACGGGGA